rnacentral:sRNA from 1 species
AGGUUAUUACUGUAAAUGCAGUGCCUUGUACAUAGGGACCCACUGUGAGAUAAGCGUCAAUCCGUGUUCCUCCAACCCAUGCCUCUAUGGGGGCACGUGUGUUGUCGACAACGGAGGCUUUGUUUGCCAGUGUAGAGGAUUAUAUACUGGUCAGAGGUGUCAGCUUAGUCCAUACUGCAAAGAUGAACCCUGUAAGAAUGGCGGAACAUGCUUUGACAGUUUGGAUGGCGCCGUUUGUCAGUGUGAUUCGGGUUUUAGGGGAGAAAGCUCAUCAAGGAGGGAUUAGUCUUCAGUCUCUAAGGAUUGAGCCUGACAUACGCUGGCGUAUGCUACAGAGGUCUCUCCUCAUUCCUGACUUUCUUGACAGGUGUCAGAGUGAUAUCGACGAGUGCUCUGGAAACCCCUGCCUGCACGGGGCCCUCUGUGAG